GGCUUGGUCGGUUAAGCGUCCGACUUCGGCUCAGGUCAUGAUCUCACGGUCCGUGGGUUCGAGCCCCGCGUGGGGCUCUGUGCUGACAGCUCAGAGCCUGGAGCCUGUUUCAGAUUCUGUGUCUCCCUCUCUCUGUGACCCUCCCCUGUUCAUGCUCUCUGUCUCAAAAAUAAAUAAAAACGUUAAAAAAAAAAGUACAUAACAUAUUCUUGAUACCAGACCUUUAAUAUAUGCUUUGUAAAUAUUUUCUCAUCGUCUGCAUAUUGUCAUUUUAUUUUCUUGGUAAUGUCUCUGGAUGCAUGGAAGUAUUAAUUUUUGAUGAAUUGAAUAUAUUAUUUGUUUUUGCUUCUGCUUUAGGAAUCACAUUUAAGAUUCUAUCAUCAAAUCCAAGGUCAUGAAGAUUUAUUCCUAUUUUCUACUGAAAGUUAUAGAGAUUUAACUCUUGUAUUUCGGAUGCUGAUACAUUUUGAGUUAAUUCUGUAGAAGGUGUAAGAACCCACCAAUAAAUCCACUAGCUGUCUCUGCAGAAGCCUGGACUCAAGGUCAACUAAUAUGGUUCCAGCCUAUGAACAAGCAAAGUUCCAUUCAGUUUAUGCCAGUUCUGAGAGCAUGCAAGUAGCUCCUUCUUCUUGUCCUAAGAUAACCUCCUGACAUCAGGGACUGAAUUUUGCCUCAUUUUGAUGUUAACUUUCCACCCCAAAGUGAACAAAGAAUGUAUGUUACAUAUAUGUUUGCUCAAUGAGCAUGUUCCACCUUUCCUCAUGAAUAGUCACAAGUUUCCCCACUCUUUUCUUCAAUAUGUAUGUAAUCUCAACUCCUAUGGUUAUAAAAAACUUGUUCUCUCCACCUUUACGGAGUUGGAUUUGAGGCUUGCCCUCCUGUCUCGUUUGGCUGCCUCUCAAAUAAACCCUUUCCUUACUGCAUACUGUUAUUUUAAAAUGCAUAGAUUCAUCUAAACAACACGAAGCAAAAACUUCUAUAACCAACAAAAUAACUUGUCUACUCUCAUCUCAUACUUAACCUCAGGAAAACAACUUAUUCUGUGUUACUAUACUUUGCUUUUACCAAAACAUCAUCUAUAUAUAGGAAUUUUGAAUAUGGAUUCUUUCACCUACCAAAAUCCAUUUGAAAUUCAUCUAUAUUGCUCAUGUAUCAAUAGUUCAUUCUGCAUUAUUGUUUAGUUUUACAUUAUAUGGAUGUAGCACAUUUUAUUCAUCCAAUACUCUAUUUGAGGGUCAUUCAGGUUUUUUUCCAGUUUGGGCUGACAAAAAAAAAAAAAAAAGCUACUAUGUUUUGAUGGUGCACAACAUUAACGCACAGUUCUAUGUUAGAACACAGAUUAUUUCAACUUGGAUAAAUACCUUUGAGAGUAACUGCUUGGCCAUAUAAUAGAUGUACAUUUAAUUUUCUAAAAAACUGACAAACUGCUUUUACAAAAUACCUGUCUCAUUUGAUAAGCAAUGCAUAGGACUUCCAUUUAUUCUCUAUCUUUAGCAGCACCUUAAAAUGUUGGUUUUUCUUAUUCAGCCAUUCAAGACGUUUAGUGACGUCAUGGUGAUUUUAAUCACCAUUUCCUUAAUGACAAAUGGAUGCUAUUUUUCUAUUUGCUUGUGUAUUAAUAAAAAAUGUAUUUCCA